GAUGAACGCUAGCUACAGGCUUAACACAUGCAAGUCGAGCGACCGGCGCCCGGGGGAGUAACACGUAUAUCACCUUCCCUUUACUCGCGGCUAGCCUUUCGCUAGAACGAUUAAUACCUGAUAUACAGGAUGGGGAUGCGUUCAAUUAGGUUGUUGGUGAGGUCACGGCUAACCAAACUUUCGAUGGAUAGGGGUUCGGACAGGAAGUUCCCCGAGAAUGGAACUGAGACACGGGCCAAACUCCUACGGAGGGCAGGAGUGAGGAAUAUUGGGGAAUGGGCUCUAGCCUGACCCAGCCAAGUAUCGGGAAGAGUGAAGGGGUAUGGGUCGUAAACUUCUUGGAUAGAAGAAUAUGUAUUAUAUGAAUAAGGAUCGGCUAACUCCGUGCCAGCAGCCGCGGUAAUAC
rnacentral:rRNA from 1 species